ACGUUCUUUUUCAUCAUUUUUCUUUUAAAAAGGGCAAUGGACACAUAACAGGGGAGGGGGAAUACACCGAAGCAAAAUGAGAUUUUCCAUUUUUAGAGGGGGGACUACAACACCACAAUAAGAAUAGAGAAACAACCAUCAUCUUCUCCAGGAGAAAAACUCCAUUUUUUUCUUUAUAUACACACUUCACACAUCAUCACAGAGGAAACCCAUCACCCAUAACAAAAAGGGAAUCCUCCAUUUGUUUCAAUGUACACAGAUUGACACGACAACAAUUUCAAACACACAGCAAAUCGACACAACACCAGCAGUAACAGUAUUACCAUUCUUACUGCUAAACAGAGACCCAAAUUUCCUUUGAACGCAAUCUAUACGCACUCACCGAGCAUACACACACUUCCAUCAGAUACACACAUAUACGAAUGAGAGAGAUCCUGAGAGAGAGGACAGAGAGAAGAGAAUAAGUAAGCGAGAAAGCUGAUCGGAGAAGUGACGAGAAAAAGAAAAAACUGAUCGGAAAAUAGUGAAACACCGGCGAGAAACAGACCUGUUCGUGUAAAGUUUGGUGUGGGUCAUUCUCUCUUAGCAAUUUUAGUUCGAAUUAGCAAAAAAUAGGAUUGGGUUGGAUAGCUGGGUUUUUCGAUUGGCGAGUUUUCUUGUGGAGGUUGAUUCGAGGUUUCGGACACGGAUCCUAUCUUUUUGAUCGAGUGAUACUUGAUUAUGAUAAUCAAUUGAGGUCCGAUUCUACUCCUUCACUUUUUUAUUUUUUUAUCUAUCGUAUUCGAUGCAUUGAAUUGAGUGUCAUUGCUUGAUAUUUGGUGGUGAUGAAUCAUUGUUUUUUUUGAUUUGUGGUUGGGUCCCUUGAUUAUGACUUGUAUAGUGAAAUGGUAUGUCGUUUGAGAAUUAAAAUGGGUUGUUUGAGGCGGAAUUGAAAUUGAUAAAAGUGAAAGUGUAUUUAUUUUGAUUCAUUGUUAGAGAUUUAAUUCAAAAUAAAUAUGGAUGUUGUUAAACGCAACAGUAUCAUGAUAGAGUAAAAUUCAUAGGCAAACGGUAGGUUGGGUAAGCAAAUUUUUAGAAAUUGUGGAAUAUUGAAUGCUUGAAACAUGUGUUGAAUGACUUAGUUUUAUUUCUUUUGAAUCAAAUAUAUCAGUGGCCGGGAAAUGCCCUGAGGUAUUUGUGUUUAUUCGACAGGAUUUCACCGAGGUAUUUUGUAGCCGGAGGAUGUUAGUGACAAAGGCCCGAGGCAUCGGGUGGAGCUUAGUCUAGGAUUAGUUUAGAAUAGGAUUUAUACUUUUUGCAUUUUUCUAUUUUGGACUGUAUAAUUAGAUUGGACACUAUAUUUUGGAUUGUUUUGUUUUGUUUGUUUGACUAAUUGUUUUACAUAUUUUUUGUGUGGUUUAUACAUUCAUCGUGCCAAAAUAGACGAUACAUUCCACAAAGAGACCGUGGCCAAACCACAGGAUCAGGGGGUUCCUAACACCUUCCCCUCGGUCAACAGAAUUCAUUAUCCGGAAUAUCUGUUCGCAGAUCAGUUUUAGAGUCAAACUAUUUUGAAAAAGGAUUUCCAAAGGUGACUUGACACACCCGAUUUAUGUCUAGUGGGGACUCUGAGUUAAUUGUAAAAUGAAUUUUUUUUGAAAUAAAUUUUUCAUUUUUGUCACUUUAAUAAUAAAAACCCUUUCAAACUUUAAAAUUAAUCUUUUUGGUUAAAAGGAGGUGUGAUAGCACUGGCGACUCUGCUGGAGAUUUUUCAGAAUUCAAGCUUAUUUUUGGAGUUGUACUGGCUUAGUUUGACACUAUGGAUGUAUAGACAUUUUGUUUGUGCUAUUGUUUGUGUUUUUGUUUUAUCAUUGUUGGAUGCCUACGUGCUCUUUGUUUACAGUCUUUCUUUAUGUGUUAUCGCUUUAUAUCUGGAAUUAUGCAUAACCCGGGUCAUUUUUUUGUAAUAAGUCCCGAAGUGCACAUCAUGUACGCGAACUCUAGUUGAGUCAUCCUUAUUUUAGAAAGUGGAGCCAUCAGAUGUAUGGAGUAGGUGGAAAGUAAAACAACAACUAUCGACCAUAGGCUCCCCCGAACGGCCUUGUUAGUGGACCGUAGCAUAGGUUAGCCUUUAGGUCAUGCUUAUCUGCAUCACAUUGAGACCUAGAGGGACCCACUUGGUCCUUUGUAGGAGACUCGCCCCUAAAAGCAUCCCUACGUACUAAUUGUUGCAUCUUUGAGGGUAAUAUGGUCAUUUGAUGGACUGGGUUGGGGAAAACAUAUGUUAGAAAUAAAGGAGCGUGUGUUUAAGCAAAGAGAAGUGAGUCAAAAAAGAAUUUUGCAGUUUUUAAAGUUCUUUAUGGCUUUUAUUUUUCACAAUCCAGAAAAUCAAAAAAUUUUUUUACUCUUUGCACUCAUUUGUCAAAAACAAAAUAAUAAAAAAGAUUUUCCUUUUGUUUCCUCUAGCAAGUAUUCGCGAUUCAAAAAUUUUAAAAAGAUUUUUUAAUAGGAUCUUUUUAUAAAAGAAAAAUGCAAAAGAUGAUAGAAGUUUUGUGUAUUUCUUAUAACGAAAGUAUCAAAAAUAUUUUUGUUUCGUAGUUGUUGGUGUCAGUUUUAUGUGAAGUGUUAAAUUAAAAACUCAAAAAAGAUUUUAUUGACAUUUUUCCUCGUCUGUUUGUGUUUGUGUCUCUCAAGUCAGGGUUAGUUGGUUCGUUAAUCCUUAAUUGUCCAAUCUGGACGAAUUACGCACCCCUGAUUCUCCUCUCUCGGGAGUGAUAUACGUAGGCAACCUAUUGUGGGUUCGGGGAUCUUAUUUAAAAAAUUCAAAAAAGAUUUUCUUCAUUCUUCAUUUAGAGUAAGUGUUUCAUAUACAUCCUUAAAAGAGAAAAAAAAAAGAUUUUUUUCACUCUUCAUUUAGAGUAGGUGUCAUAUACCUCUUUAAAAAAUAAACUGAAAAAGAUUUUUCUUUAAUAGGUUCAAGUUUUAUUUUCGUAUGAAAUUCAAAAUCGAAAACCCAGAAAGAUUUUUCUUUGAUAAUCACUGCUUUUAUUUUGUAUAGGAAUGUUUAAACCUAAAAACUGCAAAAAGAUUUUCGUCAAUUCUUUUGCCAGUUUGUUAUUUUCUUUUCUUUUUAAAGUUUCAAGAAAAAAAAAGAAAGGAAAAAGAGUUUAAUUGGCCAUUUUGAUAAAACUUCACAAACUACGCACACCUAAUUCUCCUCUCUUGGGAGUGAGAUACGUAGGCGCUCUUCUUGGGUUCGGUGAUCUUUUCAAAAUGAAUAUAAAAGAAAAGGAGUUUUGAAAAAAGUGUUACAUGUUAAUGCCUUUGUUAUCUCUUGUUCAGUUAGUUUAAGGUGAUUGUUUGUGGCGUUUUGGCUGGUCCUCCACAUUGUGCCAAGUCGAAGAGAAAAUUAUGUCCAAUAAGAAUACUGAGGUUGUUGUCACUAAUCAGAUAGAGAGUUCAGGGAAUGAGAAUUUAAGAGCUAAUGAAGAGAUUCAGAAAUUAAGUCAGCAAAUAAUAGAAAUGCAUCGAGCUUAGGCUAAUGGGUUGCCGCCUACACCAUUUCCCACUGAUAAUAUUGAAUAUCUUUCUAGUUUGCCUUCAGUGUCACAUGCACAGUUCCCUAUUUUUGUUGACACGCCACAACAUGCAUCAGGGUUCACUCUGGGACAACACUAUCUAAACACUUCCAAUAUUCAUUUCCUCACUCCUCAACAUAAAACUACCACAUGCUCGGUUCCAUCUGUUAUUCAUGUUUUUGCAGCAUCACUCCCACCUGAAACUCCUACUUUUGAUGUUCAAUCACUAGUUUUGAUUCCUCACUCUGCAAGUGAGCUUGUAUUCAAUAUUUCUAGUGAUUAGCAUUAUGCUCCCAAGCCCACAUUUAAGUCGACCAAUCCUUAUGGCUACACUCAAUCGCCUGAAUUUUCUUUUAACACUGAGAAGCCUGCUAAGAUAAAAGAACAAGAGGAAAUGAUUAAAAAAUUGAGAAGUUUGGAACUGGCUAUGAAGAAGUUGCAAGGACUCGGGGGUUAUAAAAGUGUCUCGUAUAAAGAUCUGUGCAUGUUUCCAGGUGUUAACCUCCCUCUAAGUUUUAAGAUGUCGAAGUUUGAGAAAUAUGAUGGACACGAGAUUCCGGUGGCGUAUUUUGGACGUUAUUAUAACCAAUUAAGAGGUGUUGGAGGCAAAUAAUAACUGCUUAUGGCUUACUUUGUUGAGAGUCUUUUGGGUCUAGCCUCAGAGUGGUUUGUUGAUCAGAAUAUUGGUAGGUGGAAUAGUUGGGAUGAUUUAGCUAAUGAAUUUGUGAAACAAUUUCAAUAUAAUGUGGAGUUGAUUCCUGAUAAGAAAUCCAUAACUAACAUAAAGAAGAAGAAUACUGAGAGUUUCAGGAAGUAUGCAAUGAGAUGGCGUGAACAAGAUGCUAGGGUGAAACCACCAAUAAAAGAAAGCAAAAAUAGUGGAGGUGUUUAUUUAAGCACAAGAUGAAACAUUUUAUCAACACUUGUUACCUGCAUUAGGCAAGCAAUUAAUUGAGAUUCCCAAAAAUAGGGGAGAUGAUAUAUGAUGGAAUAAAGACCGAUCGCAUUGUGAGUUUUUUAACAUUGAAAGAAACUACUCAAGCAAUUCAAAAGGGUUCAGGAAGUGUUGGGGGGAAGAAAAAUAAGGAAUAUGUAUCUGCUAUUGAAGUUAGACAGUGGGCACAGUCAAGAAGACCAUAUCAUCGUUACCCUUAGGCUCAAACCUAAGUUCAUUCCCAAGCUCUAAGGAAUCACUCCCAAAAUCCAUUAUACUCUAUUCCUCUACCUCCAUAUCUAGUGUAUAGUGCACAACCACAUACUCAAACCUCAUCUUACCUACAAUGACAUGCACCAACUCCUUAGAGUCACCCUCAAACUUCACAAAUAUACCAAAUACCUUCUAGGCCUAAUUUUCGAUUUAAGCCAAGUAAUGAAAUGAGGCAAAGGUUGAGGAAUAAUUUCACACCAAUUGGAGAGUCGUAUGCCAGUUUAUUCCAGAGAUUGGUAUAACAGAGCAUGAUCACUACUCUCUUUGGGUAUACUUCUGACCUGAAUUUAAGAAGUUUUGAUCCUAAUGUACGAUGCACAUAUCAUUUUGAUGUUCAGGGUUACAAUAUUAAAGAUUGUCGUGCUUUGAUAAGAGAAAUAGAAAAGAUAAUUCAAGAUAAAUUGAUUAUGAUGCAGAACAUUGACAGUGGUGAAAACUCUAGUCAUGCUAAUGUACAAACCAGUGGCUAAGAUGCCAGGCUCAGCAAUUGAGAAGUCGCUCCUCUCUUACUAGGAAGGGGUUUGUAGCUUGUUUUCUUUUCUUUUAUGUUAUCCAAAUUAUUUUUAGGUUGUAGUUUAGGAUCUAUCUUGUUUUGUCCUUUAUCGUUUAUGUUUAAACUCUUCUAUCUUUUAUUUUAACUAAAUGUAGUGUUCUUUUUUCCUUUGUGUUUUAAACAUGUGUUGUUUGUUUAUUUUCUUUACAUAAUACAUUUUAUGUUGGCUCUAGUGAUAUAACAUGCCUGUAGAAUUUUUAGCUAGAGCUUAAAAUCCAAUUUGAACAUGAACUUUGAAUCAGAGGGUUAAAGUUUGAAAAAAAGCAUUUGAGAAAUAUGUAGAGCGUGGAGACAUUUGGUGACCAUGUUGAAGCCUUCUUUCAAAAACUAAGGAAAUUAUUUUGAGAAUCACAAGAAUAACUUGGUCAUUAAUUGAAAAUCAUAGCUCAAUUAGGUCAAAUAGUGGACGCGUGAUCCCUAUAUCAAAAGGAACAGAAAGAAAAUCAACUCCACGAAAGCAUGAGUCAUUCUAUGUGAGAGAUAUACAACAAAGGGGGAGUUAUAUGUUUGACAAGUAUGGAAGAAGAAGUGGAACACAUGCUCAGUUAAAGUUAGUAUUGUUAAAAUGUCACAAAUGAGGUUUAUUUUUUAUUUCAUAUCGCAUGAUAUGUACUUGCAUUUACAAGGAUUGAUAUGACGAAGACAUUUCAUUCUGCUAUUCAAACAUUGUCAUUUUUUGUUUUAUCCCAUUUGAACUUUAGUUCUGUUUUCUUUCAUUCACCUCUUUUGGAAUCAAGACAAAGUCAGCAAAUCUCAAAAGAAAAAUGUAGAGCAAAACAAUAGAGUCAGAAAAAUUUCAAAAAAAAAGAUAAAAAAGAGAAAAAGAGAAAAAGUAUGUCAAAAAGAAAAAAAGGAGAGUGUCAAAAAAAUACGGAGUUAGAAAAAGUUUCAACGAGAAAAAGAGUCAACAAAAGAAAAAAUCAGAAUCAAGCAAAAGAAUAAGCUGUCGGAAUUACGUAAGACCUGAUUCUCUUGUCUCGGGGGUGAGAUCCGUAUGCUUCCCUCCUCGGGGCUCGGUCCAACCAAAUAAACAAUUUAGAAUCACCCAGCAAAAAGAAACUGGGGCAUGUGUUAAUCCUCAUUAUUUGAGUUGAUUCCAAUUGUUGUACGUACCACCCCACUUCAAGUGUCAUUUGGGCUUCUUGCCAUAUUUUUUCUAACCAUAUCACAAAGUCAAGUUACAACUAAAGAAAGACCUUCAGAUCAAUCUUUGAGAAUGUUAAGGCUAAGCAUGCAAUGGAUGUGAUGAUGCAUUUAGAUACGACUUGUCUUCUUCAACAUAAGAAACCAGUUGGGAGAAAAUAAAAAUGAGAGAGUCUUAUUUGUGAAAACCCUUAUGGGCACCAUAAGACGAUAUCAAGCAAAGAGAAAUGAAAAGGAGAGUCCCAGUGGUGAAAAUCCUCACAGACAUUCAAGUUGAGAGUGAUAAAUAUGAGAAAGUUUUAUCGGUGAAAACCCUUACAGGCACCAUAAGAUGACUGUGAGUUAAGAGAAAUGAAAAUAAGAGAGUCUUAUUGGUGAAAAAUCCUCAUAGACAUCAUAAGGCGAUGGUGAGUUGAGAGAAAAUGAGAGAGGCUUGUUGGCGAAAACCCUUCAAGGUGUCACUAGCCGAUAAGGUCUUAAACGCAUUUGACCUAAAGAAGCAACUCAGUUUCAAAACCAUUGACUCAACAAAAAUUGGUAGUAAGUUUGAAUGGAAAGAUCAGAUUGCUUAAUCCAAAAUGCAUGGCAUAAUCAUUAGAGUUGACGGUCAUUUUUAGAUAAAUUUUUCAUUUUUUUUGUUUCAAAUGGGGACAUUCAUUAUCUUUUCUUUCUUCUCUUUAUUUUUAUUUUAUUUUCUUGAGUCAGUUAUCCAAAUAAAAAAAUCAUUGUUAUUUUUUCUCUUAUCUUUGAGUCAAGUCCAUGUCAAAAUAAGUGAGAAAAGAUCUCAAAACUGACUACCAACUUUUUCAAUUGCACAAAGUGAGACAAAAACUAGUAUAUGAAAGAGACAUGAUUGUGAGCCGAAUAAGGUAUGCAGAAAGUUUUGUCAACAGACAAGCCUGAAAACUCAUGAAAAUACCAAGGUUCAAAGAGUUUAUCUAAAGAAAUAUAACAAAGUAGAGAUACUAUGUUUUUUUUAGAGUCACUCUUAAUAAUCUGAGUUUGGGUCAAUGAUGCAGUAAGUCAGUGGCAUAUGCUAAUAGUGGGAAGCAAGGUUAAAUAUGACGAGGGCAAAAGCGAUUGCCAUGAAAGAUAAAGCCACAAACCAGCCAUCAUGUUUUUAAACUCACAAGUUUUCUUUGUAUGAAAUAGGAACACAUGUUACAUUUAGAUCAAGGAUUUCAGAGCCUAAACUUCAAAGGCCGUAAUUUCUCACUUCUACAAAUGCAAGAGGCAAUGUUGCUGCACAUGUUUGGUAAUCAAAACCAUGGUAAAACUCAUAAUCCAAGAUCUCUAGGAGACGCUUCUUUGUUAAGGAGACGUAUUUCCUUGAAAAAUUCAAGUGACAUUUGUAAGGAGAUGCAUUUUCUUGUCUGGAUAAUUUAAGUGGUAUUUGUAAGGAGACGCAUUUCCUUAUAAAAUUCAAGUGACAUUUGUAAGGAGACGCAUUUCCUUGUCUAGAUAAUUUAAGUGGUAUUUGUAAGGAGACGCAUUUCCUUGUCUUGAUAAUUUAAGUGGCACUUGUAAGAAGACACAUUUUCUUGUUUGGGUAAUUCCAACGACAUUGGUAAGCAGACACACUUCCUUGUUUGAUAAUUCAAGCAGUAAUGGUAAUGAGAUGCACUUCCUUGAUUCGGUAAUUUGAAUUUUACUUGUUAGGUGAAGCACUUCCUAAUUUAAGUCUCGAUUCUUAGAAGAUGUACAUCAUAGUUGAGUCAGUCCCCUUGAUUUCUAGAAGACGUACUUUCUGGUUGAGUUAGUACCCUUGAUUCCUAGAAGAUGUACUUCCUAGUCAAGUCAGUCCCCUUGAGUCCUAGAAGAUGUACUUCCUGGUCGAGUCAUUCCCCUUGAUUCCUAGAUGAUGUACUUCCUGGUCGAGUCAUUCUCCUUGAUUCCCAAAAGAUGUACUUCCUAGUCGAGUCAGUUCCCUUGAUUUUUAGAAAAUACACUUUCUAGUCGAGUUAUUGCGCUUAACUAGUAGGAGACACACUUCCUUUUUAGUUUUUAUUUAUAAGGUGGAGCACUUUUUUUAACUUAAAAUUUUAUCUCUAGAAGACACACUUUCUAGUCGAACUUCCUUAUUUUAAUUUUUAGAAGACGCACUUCCUAGUCUUGAUCAUUUAAUUUUAGUCUCAAGAGAUGCAUUUCUUGGUCAGAAUCUUGAUUCAUCAUUGCAACAUGCAAGUAAUUAUGAUUGGAUUUGACAUUCACAAAAGCUCUCUGAUAAUAAACUGGCGAAAAGAAUUUAUUUCCUGUUGUUUGGAACUUUACUUUUUUGGCAAAUGCAAUCUCUCUUUAACAUAAUCUUUGUUUGGAAUAAUUUUCUUUCUAGUUUUGAUGUGAUUUCAAUAGCCCGCUUGAAGAACAGGGCGAAUAAAUGAAAAGUCAAGUAAUAAGGUGAAGAAAUUGAAACUCAACAGAUUGAAAAUAGCUAGUCAGGAGCCCGCCUGGAGAAAGGUGUGAAAAAAUUGAAAGCCAAGCAACAAGUUUUAGAAAUUGCAAGUCAGAAGUCCGCUUGAAGAAUAAGGUGAUGAAACUCAAGUCAAGAGUCCAAAAGAAGCUGCAUAUAUAGGAUUUUUGUAAUUUCAUUUAUGUUUUAACUUGUAAUUUUCAUUUUUGAUGUAAUGACAGAUCCGCAAACCGAAACCUCGAAAGGACCUCACUCGACUCUCCAACUCAGUUGUCCUUCUUCCUUCUAUUUCUUCCCUUGAAUAAUGAUCGGAUCAAAAUUUUGUCUCAUUGUCUACUUUUUUGUUUCAAAACACUUUGUGUUUACCUUAAAAUAGGGGCAUGAAAUAGAAACCUAAUUUUAUCUCUCCCAAAAAUCAAUUUACACAUUUUUUACUUCACGUUAUCAUACACCCUCACCCAUGUGAUUAUAC
rnacentral:lncRNA from 1 species